rnacentral:lncRNA from 1 species
UGGCCAUUUCAAUCUCCAAUAUCAAAUUGUGCUUGAAAACCUUCAAAAAAAAACAAAUACAGAAAACAUAGAUUGUAAAUCAAGUCCGAGAACUUAGCAAUAAUUUUCACAAAAACUAUCUGUAGGAUAUGCACAACCCAGCAGUAGAAACAUUGGAGAAAUGCUCAAAGACACGAACCAGGUGGAUUACAUAGAGGGUACUUAGGAUUUAUAAUCUCUUCACUACAUCAAAUAUCAUGCUGGUAAAUUAACACAUAUUUUUCUUAAAGGGCAUGGAAUAUGAUAGUAUUAACAUAUUUUAACGGCAACUAAAAAGAUCUUGAUUAUCAGAUUAACAGUAACCAAAUAACAAAUAAUCAGAUAAUCAGAUUAAUAAUCCAUAAAUUCUAAAAAUCUUUAAUAGCAACUUUUAGUCCAUAAAUCAGAUUAAUAGUCCAUAAAUUCUAAAAAUCAACAGUGUUACAGUAACCAAAUAGCAAAUAAUCAGAUUUUUUACCAGUAUCCAAAUAAUCAGAUUAAUAGUCCAUAAAUUCUAAAAAUCUUUAAUAGCAACUAAAAUUCUUUACCAACAUGCACAUGAAAGAUCUUGAUUAUCAAAAAAUUUGAUUGCAAACCUGAAGAGAGUUCCGGUCAAAGAAGAUAUCGCUGACGCCGAUUGGGGAGAGGAGGCAAGGGUUGUCUCCGGCAGUCGUCAGUGAAGUGGGGGAGAGAAGCGUCAAUUGGAAAGAGUAGAUGUCACUGACUGGGGAGAGAGAGGGAGAUGUUGCCGAAGCCGACAGGGGAGAGGGAAGAGUUGUCUUCGACUGGAAAGUGGGAGAUGUCGCCACAAUGGAGAGAGAGAAGGAGAUAUCGCUGACUGGGGAGAGAGAAGAUUUAUUGUCGACUGG